rnacentral:rRNA from 1 species
GAUGAACGCUGGCGGCGUGCCUAAUACAUGCAAGUCGAGCGAACGGACGAGAAGCUUGCUUCUCUGAUGUUAGCGGCGGACGGGUGAGUAACACGUGGAUAACCUACCUAUAAGACUGGGAUAACUUCGGGAAACCGGAGCUAAUACCGGAUAAUAUUAUGAACCGCAUGGUUCAAAAGUGAAAGACGGUCUUGCUGUCACUUAUAGAUGGAUCCGCGCUGCAUUAGCUAGUUGGUAAGGUAACGGCUUACCAAGGCAACGAUGCAUAGCCGACCUGAGAGGGUGAUCGGCCACACUGGAACUGAGACACGGUCCAGACUCCUACGGGAGGCAGCAGUAGGGAAUCUUCCGCAAUGGGCGAAAGCCUGACGGAGCAACGCCGCGUGAGUGAUGAAGGUCUUCGGAUCGUAAAACUCUGUUAUUAGGGAAGAACAUAUGUGUAAGUAACUGUGCACAUCUUGACGGUACCUAAUCAGAAAGCAACGGCUAACUACGUG